rnacentral:rRNA from 1 species
AUUGAACGCUGGCGGCAUGCCUAACACAUGCAAGUCGAACGGUAGCAGCAGAGAGCUUGCUCUCUGGCUGACGAGUGGCGGACGGGUGAGUAAUGCAUCGGGACCUGCCCAGAUGUGGGGGAUAACCCGGGGAAACCCGGACUAAUACCGCAUGAGCCCUACGGGGGAAAGCGGGGGAUCUCUUCGGAGACCUCGCGCGUCUGGAUGGACCGAUGUACGAUUAGCUAGUUGGUGGGGUAACGGCCUACCAAGGCGACGAUCGUUAGCUGGUCUGAGAGGAUGAUCAGCCACACCGGGACUGAGACACGGCCCGGACUCCUACGGGAGGCAGCAGAGGGGAAUAUUGGACAAUGGGGGAAACCCUGAUCCAGCAAUGCCGCGUGUGUGAAGAAGGCCUUCGGGUUGUAAAGCACUUUUAUCAGGAACGAAAUCUGCAUGCCUAAUACGUGUGUAGUCUGACGGUACCUGAGGAAUAAGCACCGGCUAACUCCGUGCCACCAGCCGCGGUAAUACGGAGCGUGCAAGCGUUAAUCGGAAUUACUGGGCGUAAAGGGUGCGUAGGCGGUGAGUUAAGUCUGAUGUGAAAGCCCCGGGCUCAACCUGGGAAUGGCAUUGGAA